rnacentral:rRNA from 1 species
AUGGAUCACGGACUAAAUAUCGCAGUUUGGAAUGUUCGCGACCUUAACUCGCGCGCUCGGCGUAGUGCCAUCCGUUCUCUGUUGGGCACUACCGGCGCCUCCAUUGUAUGCUUACAAGAAACUAAGAUGACUUUGAUCUACUCGCGCAUUGUGCUAGACAUCCUCAGCUCCGAGUUCGACGACUACACUUACCUCCCGGCCGAUGGCAAAUGGGGCGACAUCCUCCUCGCCUGA